AACACAUGCAAGUCGAACGCAUCGCAAGAUGAGUGGCAGACGGGUGAGUAACGCGUGGGAAUCUACCUAGAACUACGGAACAACAGAGGGAAACUUCUGCUAAUACCGUAUACGCCCUACGGGGGAAAGAUUUAUCGGUUUUAGAUGAGCCCGCGUAAGAUUAGCUAGUUGGUGGGGUAAUGGCCUACCAAGGCGACGAUCUUUAGCUGGUCUGAGAGGAUGAUCAGCCACACUGGGACUGAGACACGGCCCAGACUCCUACGGGAGGCAGCAGUGGGGAAUAUUGGACAAUGGGCGCAAGCCUGAUCCAGCCAUGCCGCGUGAGUGAUGAAGGCCUUAGGGUUGUAAAGCUCUUUCAGUGGGGAAGAUAAUGACGGUACCCACAGAAGAAGCCCC
rnacentral:rRNA from 1 species